rnacentral:rRNA from 1 species
CCUAACACAUGCAAGUCGAACGGGAAGCGGCGCAUAUUGCUUCGGUGAUAAUGUGCCGUGGAGAGUGGCGAACGGGUGCGUAACACGUAGGUAACCUGCCCUGAAAGGGGGGAUAACCACGGGAAACUGUGGCUAAUACCGUAUAAUCUCGCCGUGGCGGUGGUUACGGUGAGGAAAGCUGAGGCGAUUUGGGAGGGGCCUGCGGUCGAUUAGCUGGUUGGUGGGGUAAAGGCCCACCAAGGCGAUGAUCGAUAGCUGUUCUGAGAGGAAGACCAGCCACACGGGAACUGAGACACGGUUCCGACUCCUACGGGGGGCAGCAGUGAGGAAUAUUGCGCAAUGGGGGGAACCCUGACGCAGCAACGCCGCGUGGAGGACGAAGGUUUUCGGAUUGUAAACUCCUUAACUGGGGGAAGAGAGAGGACGGUACCCCAGGACGAAGACACGGCUAACUAGGUGCCAGCAGCCGCGGUAAUACCUAGGUGUCGAGCGUUAUCCGGAAUUACUGGGCGUAAAGGGUGCGCAGGCGGUGUUACAAGUCCGGCGUGAAAGCUUCUGGCUUAACUGGGAGAGGACGUCGGAAAUUGUAGUGCUAGAGUGAAUGAGAGGGGGGC